rnacentral:rRNA from 1 species
GUCCACGCUGUAAACGAUGGGCACUAGGUGUAGGAGGUAUUGACCCCUUCUGUGCCGAAGCUAACGCAUUAAGUGCCCCGCCUGGGGAGUACGGCCGCAAGGUUAAAACUCAAAGGAAUUGACGGGGGCCCGCACAAGCGGUGGAGCAUGUGGUUCAAUUCGACGCAACGCGAAGAACCUUACCUGGGCUUGACAUCCGCUGACAAUCCUAGAAAUAGGCCUUUCCCCGCAAGGGGACGGCGAGACAGGUGCUGCAUGGCUGUCGU